UUCUGGUUGUUAAUUUUUUUUAAAGUAAGAAAUAUAUGGACUUGAAAUAAAGUGAGGCCACCUUUUAAAAAGCAUGAACACAUAGCCUACUCCUUAAUUUUAAAAACCUCAAGUUAGAUACAUCUAUGUGAUAGGUAUUAUAGUUUUAAAAAGAUAAAUGUUUUUUAAAUAAAAAUAAAAAUGAAUUUCUUAUUGCUAGACUAUUUCUCUAAAACAGAAAGUUUUUGUGUAGAAUAAAUCUUUGGAGAGCAUCAUCUUAUUGGACAUACAGCUCUUCUUCAGCCAACUGUGACAAUAAUAAUAAAGGGUGAAGUUCAGUGCUGUGGGAAAAAACAGAGUAAACCAAAAAGUGCAGUAUGUUCUUGGCAGAGAUCUGCUUUGAAACAUGACCUAUAAUAAUUGCAAAAGAGGGAAAUACUUUCCCAUAAUUCUUUAGAAACCUACUUUAUCUGAACACUCGAAUUAAAAUUAAGAAAUAAUGGAUUCUUUUCUAAUUUUAAUCCUACUUCUUAAAAUAAAUAAAUUCUUCCAACAGGGGCCAGGGACAAAUGUGGUUAAAGACAAAACCAUGAACUGGCCAUAUCUAUGCAGAGUUUCAGUUCUGUCUCUGGGUGACCAGGACUCCAGGAUGUUGGCUGAGACUUUCUCAUCACUUGACAAGAUGGUACACAUUUGAAAAAGAAACCCACAUUCUCAAAUCACGUUUCUAUGGAUGUAACUUGGGGAAACAUCUUUGGAGGACAAUUUGGCAACACCUAUCAAAACUGAAGUGUGCUUCUAUUCCUUUUGACCAAGCAAUUUGAAUCUGAGACUUUAUCCUAGAGAUAAUUUCACAUAUGGGCACAAUGACAUAUGAACAGAUGUAGUCAUUGCAGAAUGGAGGACAAUAGCAAAAUAUUAGGAACAACCUCAAUGUUCAUCAGUCAGGAAUUGUUUGGAUAAAUUAUGGUAUUUCUAUGGAAUAAAGCUCAGCUAUAAAAAAGAGGCCAUACUUCUUUAAUGAUUUGGAACACCUUUGAGAUAUAUAGAUAUCUGAGGAAAAUCAAAUAGAGAGUGUGCAAUAACAACUCUUUGUGUAAAGGAGGAGGAGCAAGCAUCAAUACCAAGCAUAUAUACAUCUGUGUUUGUCUGCAAGGAUACACAAGAAUGAGUAAUUCUGUUUGUCCAUGGAAAGGAAAUCUGGAAACUGAGGGCCAAGGAAGGGAAAGGCAUAUUUUUCAUGUAUAUCUGCAUAUCCUUUGUAUGCUUUGAAUAUUUUACUACAUAAUAUAUAAACUAUUGAAAAAUUAAUAAUCCAUCAAAUAUUUAAAACUAUAUCAAACUCCAUUAUAAAUUUUGACAUAGCUUCAGGAAAAAAUACUUGGUAGAAGAUGGAGUAGAAAUACUUAAGAAUGUGCCAAAUCCUGUUAAAAUUGCAUAUUUAAAGGAAAUUAGAAAUUUCUGAUAAAACUAAUGAUAAUUAAAAAGAAGUUGGAAAUAUAGAACCAAAGGAGUUAGAAUAUUUUCCUUGCCGGGCACAUUAGCUUCAAAUUCUGAGAGGAAAA
rnacentral:lncRNA from 1 species